rnacentral:rRNA from 1 species
CAGCAGCAGCCGCGGUAAUACAGAGGGUGCGAGCGUUAAUCGGAUUUACUGGGCGUAAAGCGUGCGUAGGCGGCUUCUUAAGUCGGAUGUGAAAUCCCUGAGCUUAACUUAGGAAUUGCAUUCGAUAAUGGGAAGCUAGAGUAUGGGAGAGGAUGGUAGAAUUCCAGGUGUAGCGGUGAAAUGCGUAGAGAUCUGGAGGAAUACCGAUGGCGAAGGCAGCCAUCUGGCCUAAUACUGACGCUGAGGUACGAAAGCAUGGGGAGCAAACAGGAUUAGAUACCCGGGUAGUCCCUGUCUCUUAUAC